rnacentral:rRNA from 1 species
AUGCACGCUGGCGGCGUGCCUAAUCCAUGCAAGUCGAGCGAACGGACGAGAAGCUUGCUUCUCUGAUGUUAGCGGCGGACGGGUGAGUAACACGUGGAUAACCUACCUAUAAGACUGGGAUAACUUCGGGAAACCGGAGCUAAUACCGGAUGAUAUUUUGAACCGCAUGGUUCAAAAGUGAAAGACGGUCUUGCUGUCACUUAUAGAUGGAUCCGCGCUGCAUUAGCUAGUUGGUAAGGUAAUGGCUUACCAAGGCAACGAUGCAUAGCCGACCUGAGAGGGUGAUCGGCCACACUGGAACUGAGACACGGUCCAGACUCCUACGGGAGGCAGCAGUAGGGAAUCUUCCGCAAUGGGCGAAAGCCUGACGGAGCAACGCCGCGUGAGUGAUGAAGGUCUUCGGAUCGUAAAACUCUGUUAUUAGGGAAGAACAUAUGUGUAAGUAACUGUGCACAUCUUGACGGUACCUAAUCAGAAAGCCACGGCUAACUACGUG